GGUUGGUCCGAGUACAGUGGUAUUUACAACUAAUUGAUCAAAACCAGUUACAGAUUCCUUUGUUCCUUCUCCACUCCCACUGCUUCACUUGACCAGCCUUUA
rnacentral:Y_RNA from 1 species